GAGAAGUUAAGAGAGUUAGUUCCGAGACGACGAGCUGGAUGGCGGCUGCGCCGGCCGCCGCCCCCCUGACGAACACCGACAAGGUAAAGCAGGAAAUGUGGAACGUAGGAAACGUAUCUGGAAUGUAGUACCUACAUUAUUUAGCGUCCCAAAUACGCUGCCAAACUUCCAGCUGAAGGUAAAACCACAUAGACGUGAUGAUAAAACGUCAAAAGCAAUGAAACUGUUUCCAGACACUGGAGAAACUAGUUGCACAAUUGAUGCUACAUCUGAGUCACAAAUUGCAAGAAUCUUCAACACAUUCACUUUUGAAGGAAAGAAAUUCCACGUCGUCGCUGAUGUCGAUAUAAACCAGACAACUUCUGCUAUAUCUGUGGGAAGUUCACCUUUGUGAGAAAUAGGAAGAAAAUUUCAACAUUUAUAAAGAAAGCAUGUAAACAUUACUUUGGAGUAGAGGUAGGAGAUCAAGAUAAAGAAUGGACACCACAUUUCUAUUGUGCUACAUGUUACUGCAAACUAAUUCGGUUGUGGAAAGGUAAAGAGAAUGUGGUGCUGUUCACUGUGCCCAUGGUAUGGAGAGAACCCAACAACCACGUCACUGACUGUUAUUUCUGUCGACCAAAAAUUCAGGAUUUUACAAACAAGAAAUCGAAGACGCACAUUGUUUACACAGAACUGCCUUGAGCGAGCAUGCCAGUGAAACACUCUGACAGCCUUCCAGUACCUUGAAGAGCUUCAGGUCAAAUUCGGAGUGACAGUGAAGUAAGUAAUACUGAAGAAAUCACAGAUGAUUAUCCUUUAUAUCACUGCACAACUGAGUCAUCGCCACAUUUGUUAAUACUAUCCGAUUUAAAUGAUUUAGUACGUGAUCUUGGACUAAGUAAACAAAAGGUGUACCUGCUUGGUUCAAGAUUACAAGAGUAUAACCUACUCCACCAAAUUACUAAAAUCAGUGUGUCAGGCACAGAGAACAUGUCUUUAUUUCGUAUUUUGCAACUCACAGAGCGCUGACACUUUGCAUUGACGUUUCUGCCCUAAUGAAAGUGCUGAACGUCACCUACGAGUAAAUUUCACAGGAGUGGAGACUUUUCACAGAUGCGUCAAAAACAAGUCUCAAGGGUGUUUUGCUCCAUAAUGGAAAUGAAAUACCCUCUGUUCCAGUACCAGCUUGACCAAAGAGAAUUAAGAAUUCGUACAAAGGAUGCUAAAUUCAUUACAAUACAAUGAAUACAAAUGGAAAAGUAAUUGCUAUUGUACUGGGAAUGCAACAAGGCUGCACGAAGUAUGUCUGUUUCUUUGCGAGUGGGAUAGUCGAGACAGAAAUUCUCACUACGUGAAAAGGAAAUGGCCUAAGCUGAGAUGGAAAGUGGGCGAAAAGGAUGUACAACGUGAAAGUCUAGUAGCACCUGAAGAUAUACUACUUCCACCGCGUGAUAUCAAACUUAGCCUAAUAAAAAACACUUCCUAAAGGCCAUGGAUUCAACAGGCAGUGGGUUUGCAUAUCUAGCUACCAGAUUCCCAAGUCUUUCUGAUGCAGAAAUAAAGGAAGGUGUAUUUGUGGGCCUACAAAUCAAGGAACUGCAGAAAGAUGUAAGUUUUGAAGCACAUUUAACUGACAAAGAAAAGACAGCAUGGGACUGUUUCAAGAUGGUGCCAGACAACUUCCUGGGCAGAAGAAGAGCUACUAACUACAAAGCAAAGGUGAAUGACAUGAUCGAAGCAUAUCAAGAUCUGGGAUGCAAUACGUCUUUGAAGGUGCAUAUGAUGGACUCUCAUCUGGACUACUUCACAGAGUAGUAGUGACGUACUGGAUGAACGCGGCGAAAGAUUCCAUAAAGACAUUUCGAACAUAGAAAGGCGUUAUGAAGGGAAGUGGGUACAUUCUAGGUUAGCAGAUUAUUUCUGGAAUAUAAUUUGAGAGAAGAAAGAUGAAAAAUACAAGAUAAAAAAAUGAUGUGCAUUACAAGACAGUGACUUAUUUGUUUGUCCAUUUUCUGUAUUUUCGCAUGUCAAAUAAAUGCUGCAAAUCGUAUACACAAAGA